ensembl:lncRNA
GUAAGUACGAGUCAUAUUUCUGGAGUAUCACGCCGACUAUUUUCGGUGUUUCUGGGUAAAUCUGUUGCCUCACAGCAGCCAUUUUAGGCUCCUGGCUUUUUCAGUCGGACAGUGUUUUAACGAAAACGCUGCUGACAAGUCUGGAGUGACUCAGUUCUGCCCGCCGACUGGACCAUGUGGACGCUGAUCUGAGGAAGCUGAGGAACGCUAUCAAGCUGCAGCUGCCAGUGGAUCAGAUCCAGCCUCAAAGAGCCAGUGUUUAACAGUUAACAUUUCUAACUGGAAACUGGAAUUUCUGGGUGGUGACUGCUCCAGUUUUUCUUUUUUUUCUUUGUUUUUCUAGAUUGUAUGCUAUAGUCACACUGGGGAAAACACUGGCACAAUUAAAAAUGUUGUGACUACGUGCAAUGAUUUUGCAAACUUGUUGCUCGUUGAAGACAGGUACCAGGUCUGUGACCACUCACAGUCAGCUGCCAUCUUGAAAGCUACUUCAAAACAACAAAAUAUAAGAAAACAAACAAACAAACAAAAAAAAAUAGAGUCAGCAUGGUUUCUCCAUCAGUUUACACUUGUAUGGGAUCAAGUGGGCAAUUCCAUUCCAUCUUUGAUAAAACAUCAAGCAACUAUGGUAAACUGAUGACAAUCGCAAAUCUGUUGUCGUCUGUAAAAAUAGAAAUUCACAUCAGGUACUUGCAUUCAGAGUCCAGGCAGAACCUCAUAAAUCUGAAAGAGAGAUUUGGAAAUCCUCCACAAAUAGUAACAUAGUUGUUGCAGGAUCGCGAUUUAACUGCCAAAUGACACAAUCACUCAGCAACCUUGCUUAAAUAUAGGAAUAUAACCAGAACACAAACACAUGAGUCAAGUGGCCUGUUGCAAUGAGAUACAACACAGACAACUGAAGAAGAUGCAGUGAGUCUAAGUCAGACUGCAACUGGUUGGAGACCAGUUGCCUCUCACCAGGCACUUGCCUCUCACUUUGCCAUGAACACCUGCA